rnacentral:ncRNA from 2 species
AUGACUUCAGCUAUAAGCGGCUGUCUUGUUGCGUUUUUUGCACAUUGGUUACGAACGCGCAACAAUAAAAAAGGUGACAAAUAACCAACACCUAAAUAAAUCCCCUCACUAUGGCAGUAGUGAGGGGAUUU